AACGAACGCUGGCGGCAUGCCUAACACAUGCAAGUCGAACGAGACCUUCGGGUCUAGUGGCGCACGGGUGCGUAACGCGUGGGAACCUGCCCUUAGGUUCGGAAUAACUCCCCGAAAGGGGUGCUAAUACCGGAUAAUGUCUUCGGACCAAAGAUUUAUCGCCUUUGGAUGGGCCCGCGUUGGAUUAGCUAGUUGGUAGGGUAAAAGCCUACCAAGGCGACGAUCCAUAGCUGGUCUGAGAGGAUGAUCAGCCACACUGGGACUGAGACACGGCCCAGACUCCUACGGGAGGCAGCAGUGGGGAAUAUUGGACACUGGGCGAAAGCGUGAUCCAGCAAUGCCGCGUGAGUGAUGAAGGCCUUAGGGUUGUAAAGCUCUUUUACCCGGGAUGAUAAUGACAGUACCGGGAGAAUAAGCUCCGGCUAACUCCGUG
rnacentral:rRNA from 1 species